rnacentral:lncRNA from 1 species
AUUCUCUCACCACAUCCUGAGCACAGAUCUGGCAGGCCCAGGGCCCAGGGCCCAGGGUUCCCCACUCAGCCCCACCAGCCUUCCGGCCCCCACCCCAGGCUUCCUGUUUGGGCGAUCUGCUUCCGGCUCCCCUGCUCUCUGGCCUAGGUAUGGUCACCAGCACAGGUCCUGCCCUGCACUUGCUUCCUGGCUCCCCUGGGAUGCUCCCUGGGCUUUGGGCCCCAAAGCUUCAUGCUUCCCUCUGCUCAUUCUUCCCCAGAGGCACAAGCCUCUCUCAGUAGGAAGUGACUUUUCUGAACACCUCACCCGGGUAGCAUUUCCGGACUUCUGUUUUUUUCAUCUGCCCAGCCCUGAGGGGAACAGGCUGGUAGCAGUCAGAGGGCUGAGGGUAGGUUCCCAAGAACCAUGGCUUAGAGGUGGGAGCUUACGCUUCAUGUGAAGAUGAAUUGGGGGAUCAAAUGAACCCCCCUCCACCCAAGGCUUAACCCGUAUCUUUAGUCCCUGUGGUUCCCCACUGACACUGAGGACACAAAAAAAUCAAAUCUGAGGAUGUUAACACAUGGGAUGAGAAUGAGACUGGGCUUCCCAGGCUCUGGGGAGAUGUGUGUGACUGGAGGGACUUCCUAAGUCUGAGAUGUCUGAGUGUGGGACCUCUGUCUCCCUAGAGAUUUUCAAGCUGGAAACAGAUGGAUGUGCACAGGGAAGAAGUGAGGCCAGGGCCAGGGGGAGUCAUCCUGGCUGCCCCCACUUUCCUGCAGGUCUUUGUUGCAAGUCUAACCUCUGACCCUCUGCUGGCCUCAGCCCCAACCCCUGUCCAGAACUCCCACUGUGCUCCCUGGCCAGUGCCUGUUCUCAAAACUGUCUCCAAAUUCACUUCUCUCUUUUGCUACCCUAAGGGGAGGGAAAGUCCAGGAUGGCAGGAAAAGAGGGGAAAACCGAUCCCUGAGCCAGUUCUUGGGAGGGAGGGGAAACCCAGGGAGGAAGGACAGGGGAGUGAGGGGCGGGGGUAUUUUGGAAGAGGAGAAGGCUUUUCUUGUCCCAAGAGAGAAGGGAGCACUGUCUGAAGCAGUGGCCCAGCUGGGGGUGUGCAACCCCGAGGUCACCCACUUCAAAUGGCCUCUCUGUGUCUCUCCCAUGGGGCAGACUCGGGGUUCAAAAGCCUUCUCUCUGAUCUUUGGCCGGCCCGGUUCCAUCUCCCCUCUCCCCUCCAUCCUAGGAUGUCCCUAUUCAGCUCUGCCCUCCUUCCCACGGGGCAGUUGGACCUUUCUCCAUUCACUUCUCCCUG